rnacentral:rRNA from 1 species
GAUGAACGCUAGCUAUAGGCUUAACACAUGCAAGUCGAGGGGAAACGGCAUUAUGUGCUUGCACAUUUUGGACGUCGACCGGCGCACGGGUGAGUAUCGCGUAUCCAACCUGCCCUUUACUUGGGGAUACCCCGUUGAAAGACGGCCUAAUACCCGAUGUAAUUCAUUGAUGGCAUCAGAUAUGAAUAAAAGAUUUAUCGGUAAAGGAUGGGGAUGCGUCUGAUUAGCUUGUUGGUGAGGUAACGGCUCACCAAGGCAACGAUCAGUAGGGGUUCUGAGAGGAAGGUCCCCCACAUUGGAACUGAGACACGGUCCAAACUCCUACGGGAGGCAGCAGUGAGGAAUAUUGGUCAAUGGGCGGAAGCCUGAACCAGCCAAGUAGCGUGCAGGAAGACGGCCCUAUGGGUUGUAAACUGCUUUUAUACGAGAAUAAUUUGAUGCACGUGUGCGUUAUUGCAUGUACCGUAUGAAUAAGGACCGGCUAAUUCCGUGCCAGCAGCCGCGGUAAUACGGAAGGUCCAGGCGUUAUCCGGAUUUAUUGGGUUUAAAGGGAGUGUAGGCGGUUUGUUAAGCGUGUUGUGAAAUUUAGAUGCUCAACAUUUAACUUGCAGCGCGAACUGUCAGACUUGAGUACACGCAACGUACGCGGAAUUCAUGGUGUAGCGGUGAAAUGCUUAGAUAUCAUGAAGAACUCCGAUUGCGAAGGCAGCAUACGGGAGUGUAACCGACGCUUAAGCUCGAAGGUGCGGGUAUCGAACAGG